rnacentral:lncRNA from 1 species
AUGGCCGGGGAGGAGAGUGGGGCUCCCCAGGACAGAAGAUCUCCAGCGGAGCCCUACCAAGUGACCGAGGUCAUCCCUCUGCAUGCUGAUGCUGAAUUGCUGCCUCUGUCUGAUGUGGAACAGGAGGCAGUGGAUUUCAUCCAAGCCAACAGCAUCAGCAAGGAAAUGGAUCUGGUGCAGAAGCUGCAGUUCCUCAACAGCAUUUGCAUACUGUGCAGCACCGCUGGACAGAAGGGCCUCACACUGAGCCCCAAUAUCUUCUGCUUGCUCAAAAAUCUGUGCAAGAAGAUUGAGGUGAGGGGACAUGGCACCCAGGUAGCUGCACCCUGUGAGAAGGACAGGACAGGGGGAGAGGGAGGCAGGGAAAUGACGCACAGACACCCAAGUGCCCCAGAUGGGACUCCAGGUGCUGCUGAGAGCUCAGCAGUGGAGGUGGACAGCAGCACCAGUGUGCCAGUGUUUGUCAAGGGCCACUGGGGCGACUCAGGCCCUAGCGGCCGGUGGCAGGUUUGCUGUUGCUGGGUGCUGGCAGCUGCCAGGUGCCAUCCUGAUUGUGCUUUGCAGGUUCUGUUGUGUGAGGAGCCCAUGGAGAAGUUGGUGGUCCAUGAUGGAUGUUCAUAUCCAAAGUCUAAUUUUAAAUACUUACUCAGGAGGCAGAUUCGGGGGUUCCACUCUUUCACACUUCCACUGGAUGCAGAGAACAGAAAUUUUUAACAUUAGGAACAAAGUACUUAAUUCAAUAUGUCAGAUUUCAUUAGAAUUGGAUGCUCAAAUGUUAUCUGUGACCAGGCCCAGUGUUGUCUUUUAAAUUAUCCCAGAAGUCUUCACAAAAUGAAGUCCCCUAAAUUUCAACACACUAGACACAGAUAUAAUGUUAUCCUGUUAUCUGGAGUUAUGCAAAUUAAUUUUUUUUUUAACAUAAAUUACAGCUCUAAAUAAGUCCUUUUAGAUUUAUGAGAUAUCAACUACAAGGGUAGAAGUCAAGAAUGAGGAAUUUUAACUUCCACUUUCCUUGGAAUAUUAUGGGCUUCCUCUAGUCCCAGGACUGUUCUUAUUCACCUUGUGAAUUGCUCUUAUAUUAUACAAGUACAUACAUCACUUUGAGCCCUAUUUCUGUAUUUCUGAUUGUAGAUCUUCAAAGAAAAAACAAACAAACAAACAAACAAAAAAACCUGGAAUUAUUAUAAACAAAAGAAAGGACUGAUAUUAGACUUUUCACCUUCCAGAUAAGUAAAAAUAUAACUUGGAUGGAUUGAUUUAUGACACCAUGAAAGUUUUAAAUGGUUACUUGUAAUGAAUAUAUGUCCUCCAAAAUAAUUAUGCCCUUUAAUUGUAGUAAAUUACUUGACUAAAUAGUUGUGUUGGGUCCUUUGUAGGUAUUAUUGAUAGAUUACUUACUGUCAGUUCCAAAUUGAGAUUCUGAGUUCUUCUCAAUUGCAAAGGGAUAUCCUUACCUCAAUAAAUUCUCUUUAUCAACAAAUUGUGUCUGAAUA